rnacentral:ncRNA from 18 species
ACGCCGUCCCGAGCGGCGUUCGCGGCCUCGACCGGGCCAGUGCGGCGGGGGUGGUGCCGUGUCGGCGCAGCACCACCCCCGCCUU